GCAGUCGCCGCGGGAAUACGAAGGGUGCAAGCGUUAAUCGGAAUUACUGGGCGUAAAGCGCACGUAGGCGGAUCGUUAAGUCGGGGGUGAAAUCCUGGAGCUCAACUCCAGAACUGCCUUCGAUACUGGCGAUCUUGAGUCCGGAAGAGGUGAGUGGAACUCCUAGUGUAGAGGUGGAAUUCGUAGAUAUUAGGAAGAACACCAGUGGCGAAGGCGGCUCACUGGUCCGGUACUGACGCUGAGGUGCGAAAGCGUGGGGAGCAAACAGGAUUAGAUACCCCCGUAGUCCCUGUCUCUUAUAA
rnacentral:rRNA from 1 species